rnacentral:rRNA from 1 species
UACAGAGGGGGCAAGCGUUGUUCGGAAUUACUGGGCGUAAAGGGCGCGUAGGCGGGGAGGUAAGUCGGGUGUGAAAUCCCUCGGCUCAACCGAGGAACUGCGCCCGAGACUGCCUUUCUUGAGUCCCGGAGAGGAAGGUGGAAUUCCCGGUGUAGCGGUGAAAUGUGUAGAGAUCGGGAGGAACACCGGUGGCGAAGGCGGCCUUCUGGACGGUGACUGACGCUGAGGCGCGAAAGCGUGGGGAGCAAACGGG